rnacentral:rRNA from 1 species
UACGUAGGUGACAAGCGUUGUCCGGAUUUACUGGGCGUAAAGAGCGCGCAGGCGGUCGAUCAAGUCGAGUGUGAAAGCCCCCCGGCUCAACUGGGGAGGGUCAUUCGAAACUGGUCGACUCGAAGGCAGGAGAGGGUAGUGGAAUUCCCGGUGUAGUGGUGAAAUGCGUAGAUAUCGGGAGGAACACCAGUGGCGAAGGCGACUACCUGGCCUGUUCUUGACGCUGAGGCGCGAAAGCUAGGGGAGCAAACGGGG